AUUUAUAUAGUUUAAAUAAAACAUUUCAUUUUCAAUGAAAAAAUAAGCUCAUACUUUAUAAAUU
rnacentral:tRNA from 1 species